CCCCAUUGUUUCGACUUUAUUUUAAACAAACUAUAUUAAUAGAUGCCCGAUUUUCUCUGUGCUGGUCUCCUUGCGAUGCAAAUCGCCGUCAGUUCUGGCGUAUCUGCGGGCACGGAUUAGAAAGUAUAUGUGUAGUCCGCGGCGCCCCACCGACGGUAUCGGGGAAAGGACAAAGUAGCGUUACCUGGAAACCGGGAGCGCGAUCACAUUUCAUUCCGCCUUUCAAAUUGUCCAUCGAUUGAGAGGUAAACAGUGCAUCAAAAUCGUUCCUUACAUGUGUAUUGUUCCAGUACGAUUCAGCUUGAUUCUGUUUUUCCACAUUGCCCGUGAAUUGAGAGGAAAACGGAAAGUUAAGUGGAUCGAAAUUGUUCCUUUAAUUUGUUUAAGAAGGAACUGUAGAUGCUGGAAAAUCGAAGGUACACAAAAAUGCUGGAGAAACUCAGCGGGUGCAGCAGCAUCUAUGGAGCGAAGGAAAUAGGCAACGUUUCGGGCCGAAACCCUUCUUCAGUUCCUUUAAUUUGUUCGUUCCAACUUCAGGAGCUUCAGAAUCAGUUUGAUUCUGUUUUUCCAAAUUGUUCGUGAAUCGAGAGCGCUGCGGCCUAACAUCGUGGAGUUGGUGGCCUUUUGCUGGAGAUCGAUUUUGGGAGCUCCAACCGCGGGAGCGGAAUGACUUUAACAUUCGUGGAGCCCGCGUUCUAUGGUUGGGGACCGACUUUGGGAGAUCCAGGACACAGGAGCUUCGAUCGCCG